CAAGAAAUUAAUGAGCAGGAAGAAAAAAUGAAAAAUAACCCUUUCAUCUUUCAUCCUAUGGAUGACUCAAGUUUUGCUGCCAUCACAUGUACACAGUUGUCACUUGAGGACCUGUGGAAGCAGCAGUGUGACUGUGCUGCUGUACUGAAAGAAGUAUUUGCAGUGGAAAGACACUUUCUGUUUCCGCGCAUGUUCUUUCACUUUCCACCAGUCAUCAUUCCGCUUCGACAAAUUUGGAGGAAUCUGGCCACAUCUUUCUGGAAACUGAGCACAUUUGAAAUGAGUGUCAUUGAAAAGUUUAAAAAUAUCAUCAAUGAUAUGUUGGAAAUCUUAAAGCAAAUGCCUGUGUUUCUGGAUCUGCGGGGUGGUGAAAUAGCCAAGCACAUGGUGUCUGUGUUGGUGACCAUGGCUAAACAUCUGGAAAAGGAUGUUGCUGAAGCCCGAGAAAGGUCUGGAGAAAGUUUCAGUAUAUGUGUGAAAAAUACUUGGAAGGAAACAAAGCCAGUGAACUGGAAAAGCUUUAUGAUUUUCUCAAGAGAAAGAUGAAUGAAGACGAAAAUGAUUAUGAUAGUGAUUUGUCAGAUGGCAUCACAAGUACAAGUUGGACAUGAAGCCACAAAUGCAACUUAUUCUCGUACAGUCCUCUGUCCUCAAGUCGGACUCAUUCGCGGGGUUACAAAUGAAGCCAAAGACAAAGCAUCACAGAGGACUGUCCAUUUUUAUGAACUUUUAGUCCUGAUCAGAGUCAAGGGGUUUCAGAGCCGAUCCUGGAAUCACUGGGUGCAAGGUAGAGAGGGAAGAGCCCUGGACAGGACACCAGCGUAUCUUCACAUGACACUAUACAUGAAAAUAAUAUGUGAAAUUAACAACAACAACAACAACAAAAAAGAUUGGAAACACGAGUAAAUACAUGUAUUAGUAAAUUAGUGUUUUAAGUGACUCAACUUUUACAUGAGUAAAUUAGGUAUCUAUGUGAUGACUGGUAACUUACUAAUUUUUUCUAGUUUGUGCCCUACACCUUAAAAAUCGCACAGAUUUUUUUUAAAUUAAGGAAAGAAAUGAAAACCUUCAGCUUACCAAAUACACCAUAAUAAACCUCUGACUUCAAGAAGCA
rnacentral:lncRNA from 1 species